rnacentral:rRNA from 1 species
AAGGGCACCACAAGAACGCGUGGAGCAUGUGGCUUAAUUUGACUCAACGCGGGAAAUCUUACCGGGUCCGGACACACUGAGGAUUGACAGGCAAUAUUAAUAUAUUUAUAUUUUAUUUUCAUCUUCUCGGAUGUAUUAUUUAUCAUUUAUAUUAUGUUAAAUAUGCUACUCCUUUCAUGAUUAUGUGAUAGGUGGUGCAUGGCCGUUCUUAGUUCGUGGAGUGAUCUGUCUGCUUAAUUGCGUUUCACUAUUGGGCUUAUAUAAUUACGUAUGAUGUUAACGCUUUGACCCCUUAUCUACGGAUUUGUGCGGGUCUUUGUUGUUUAACUCAUACAAUUAAUCCCUGAAGACAACGAACGUGACCGCAACCUCUUGUUGCUCUCCAUAUUAUUGUACGCAUGUAAUUUAUUAUAUCAUAUAAUUACCACAUAUAUUAUUCGUGAUUAGCUGUUUCAUUCAUUUGUUUCACUUUUUUCAGAUUUUGUAUUAAGAGAGCUUUCUAAACUAGAGGGACCGCUGUUACUUUCUUAAACCAGAGGAAGGUUGCGGCAAUAACAGGUCUGUGAUGCCCUUAGAUGUUCCGGGCUGCACACGUGCUACAAUGAUUAUUGCAGUGAGCAUCUCAUUUUUUACACAUCGCAUGCGCGAGUCCAUUUAUUCAUUACCUUUUGUGUAUUGCUUUAAAUGUGUACCUCUGCGCGCGAUAAAGCCUACUUCGAAAGUCAGUGGGUAAUCAAUUAGAAGUAAUGAUUUCCUUUUUUUAUGUAUUUAUAUAUAUCUGCACACAUAUAUAUGGCAUUUAUACCCGGGUAACCUUGUUGUUACUUUUGUGCGUAUAAGUGAUAUCAUUUUUAUAUUAAUAUAAUUAUGCAUAUAUUACCAUAUGUGCAAUUGUCAAUUCAUGGUGGGGACAGACCAUUGUUAAUUGUUGGUCUCGGUCUUAACUAGGAAUGCCUUGUACGGAUCUUUGGUUCAACAAACCAUCCGGAAUACGUCCCUGCCCUUUGUACACACCGCCCGUC